CAUGUUUUACUGUUGCCAGUUCAGGUGAGCUCUAAGAUCCUAGCCGUCCAAGUAGUGGUCUGUUAUCUGUUAAUGGACUUUCAUCUUUAUGAGUUACUCAUUCUCACCAGCCAAGCAGCAACUUAAAGCCACACUAAGAUGGUGAUGAAUGCCAGAGUGGGUCACAGACAACAAAAGAUUCACCUCGAUUCUGCCAGUGCCUUGGGACUAUCAAGAAUGAUGCGGUGACCAAACAUUAUCAGAAGGAUUUUCAGGCUGAACUGAUGGGGAAUACAUUUCGACGACAGCUGAGAAGUGAUGCGAUACCAGCAAUGUUUUUUCUUCACCAGAAAACAGAACAUUCUCAAUUAACGUUAACUAGCUAACGUUACAGUCCUGCAAAUCAUAUAGCUAUCUUUUGGUAUACACACUGGCGUACAGCAGGUCAGCCAUCACGAUGCGAUGGCGCCAUCUGCUGGACCUGCCAGGUCUCGACAGGCUCUCCGGACAGGACUAAUUGGGGCUGAUUGCUCACCAGCUGUAGCAAUCCCAUGUAGCUGCCAGAAGGGCAGCACACAGGGGAGAGAGUAGGGGAAGACAGGACUCCCGUAUAGUUGGGGACAGAGGUAACAGGAGUGAGUUCAGUUUGAUCCCCACAGGAUACAGCAAGACCAAGAAGACAGUAUCCCAGAUAGGGUCUCAUGGGGGAGACCUAUUAUUUGAAUAAACACCUUUGAAACUGA